GACGAACGCUGGCGGCGUGCUUAACACAUGCAAGUCGAACGAAGUGGCGAACGGGUGAGUAACGCGUAAUCAAACUGCCCUUCAGAGGGGGACAACAGUUGGAAACGACUGCUAAUACCGCAUACUGAAGGAGGGGAGUGCGUCUGAUUCGCUAGUUGGAGGGGGAACGGCCACCCAAGGCGAUGAUCAGUAGCCGGUCUGAGAGGAUGAACGGCCACAGUGGGACUGGGAACCGGCCCCGAAUCCUACGGGAGGGCGCAGUGGGGAAACUUCCGCAAUGGACGAAAGUCUGACGGAGCAACGCCGCGUGAGGGAUGACGGCCUUCGGGUUGUAAAGCUCUGUUAAUCGGGACGCGGUACCGGAAUAGAAAGCCACGGCUAACUACGUGCCAGCAGCCGCGGUAAUAC
rnacentral:rRNA from 1 species